rnacentral:rRNA from 1 species
UACGUAGGGCGCAAGCGUUGUCCGGAAUUAUUGGGCGUAAAGAGCUCGUAGGCGGUUUGUCGCGUCUGUCGUGAAAGCUUGGGGCUUAACCCUAAGUCUGCGGUGGAUACGGGCAGGCUAGAGGCAGGUAGGGGAGAACGGAAUUCCCGGUGUAGCGGUGAAAUGCGUAGAGAUCGGGAGGAAUACCGGUGGCGAAAGCGACUCUCUGGACGGCAACUGACGCUGAGGCACGAAAGCGAGGGGAGCGAACGGG